AUCGACGGCGGUGUUUGGCACCUCGAUGUCGGCUCAUCACAUCCUGGGGCUGUAGCCGGUCCCAAGGGUAUGGCUGUUCGCCAUUUAAAGUGGUACGCGAGCUGGGUUCAGAACGUCGUGAGACAGUUCGGUCCCUAUCUGCCAUGGGCGUUGGAGAUUUGAGAGGGGCUGCUCCUAGUACGAGAGGACCGGAGUGGACGUUCCGCUGGUGUUCGGGUUGUCAUGCCCAUGGCAUUGCCCGGUAGCUACGAACGGAAGUGAUAACCGCUGAAAGCAUCUAAGCGGGAAGCACGCCCCAAGAUGAGAUCUCCCGAGAGCUUGACUCUCCUUAAGGCACCAUCAAGACUAGGUGGUUGAUAGGCACGGUGUGGAAGUGCAGCAAUGCAUUGAGCUUACGUGUACUAAUGAGCCGUGAGGCUUGACCAU
rnacentral:rRNA from 1 species